rnacentral:tRNA from 1 species
GGUGGCUCAGUGGUAGAGCGCUUGCCUUGCAUGCGUGACGCCCUGGGUUCGAUUCCUUAGCACCA